CCUACGGGGGGCAGCAGUGAGGAAUAUUGGUCAAUGGACGAGAGUCUGAACCAGCCAAGUAGCGUGAAGGAUGACUGCCCUAUGGGUUGUAAACUUCUUUUAUAUGGGAAUAAAAUGUUCCACGUGUGGGAUUUUGUAUGUACCAUAUGAAUAAGGAUCGGCUAACUCCGUGCCAGCAGCCGCGGUAAUACGGAGGAUCCGAGCGUUAUCCGGAUUUAUUGGGUUUAAAGGGAGCGUAGGUGGAUUGUUAAGUCAGUUGUGAAAGUUUGCGGCUCAACCGUAAAAUUGCAGUUGAAACUGGCAGUCUUGAGUACAGUAGAGGUGGGCGGAAUUCGUGGUGUAGCGGUGAAAUGCUUAGAUAUCACGAAGAACUCCGAUUGCUAAGGCAGUUCACUGGACUGCAACUGACACUGAGGCUCGAAAGUGUGGGUAUCAAACAGGAUUAGAUACCCCUGUAGUC
rnacentral:rRNA from 1 species